GCGGCCCUUCCAACGAGCUACACCUGCAUCUGGAGAUGUGCUACGAACAGUUUCACAGCCUGGAAAAGGAGCGCAAGAAAACGGAAGCUGAACUGGCUCGGCAAAACCCCGGGAAGCGCGUGUCUAGUGCCAACAACAUCCCCGUGCCGCGGCUGCCCCCAAAUCCGUCCCGUGUGGAUCGCCUGAUUGUCGACCAGCUUCGAGAACACGCUAAGGUGCUGACGUUGGUGGCCAAGAUGGAGCAGUUGAGAGGUGCAGAGAUGCACCCAGAUGUGUACGCCAGCAUAGAGCAUUGGCUGGAGACAUUGCGAGUUGUGCAGGCCUGCAGGCGUGAUGAGAUGAUGCACCAGACUCACCGACACCACCGCCACCUGCUCAACCCACCUGCCCGCUUCCAAGAUGACACCGAUGUGCUUGCCUUGGCACACAGUAUCCAGCAGCUGAGCCAGGCAUCGCGCCGUGCCCGCACCGCCCUGUGGUGCGCCCUGAUCACCACGCUGCUUGUGCCCCCAAACUCUACACCACUGCCGGCAACCGUCUCUUCCUCUUCCGCCUAGUCGACAUGCCUACUUCGUCUUUUCUCCUUUUACCGCGCGGAAAAGGCCGUCGGUGCUGUUGCGGUUGUGUCAGUCGUUAGUCGCUGUGUGGCCGGCUUUCUUGUGGUUUUCUCCCCAAGGGGAAAGUGCACGCCACGGCUAGAGCGAGUGGAAGAAAGGCUUGAACAAACUUGGCAGGGUUUGUUUCAAAGGUUGGACGCAAGCCAGUCUGAUCGUCUAACGUUAGCACGUCCCGGAGCGUAUUCUUGAAGACAAAUGUGUUCUUGUUCCCGUGCAUUGCGGCUCACUCACACGCAUGCCCACAAGCCAAAAUGAAGUCUUCCUAAAGCCACGUUACAGUCACUUUAGCCUUAGCAUACAUAAUUUAAAGGUAAAGAAAGAAAUGUUAUUUGGUACGUCUGAAUUUUAUAAACACACUGGCAGUGUACUUCAUCAUGGCUGUAAAGGUCGUUUCAUUUGAUGAAUUUGUGCUUAUUUAGAACCUGCACCGCACUGCAUUGCGUGCCAUGUUUUUCGGGCACUCCUUGUUGUUUGAACAUUGGCAAAACUUAGAAAUGCCGCUGACCAAGUUGCCAGGAAAGCAGCAGCAAGCACUAAACAAUGUGAGCUGGCUUACCUCGGCGAGACUUUUGCUACGCUCACCCAUUGACCUCUGCCAACGGUGAGAGUUGCUGUUGCCGCUAUUGGCUGUACCUCUAAAAGAAGAGAUGCACAUUUCUUCUGCAUCGGAAGAAACAGUUCUGCGAGAACACAUGCAUGAACACAAAGUGCAGACGAGCUGACUGCCUUCGGAACGCCCAACGCCGUUUAGCUCAGUAGUGCAGUUAGUCUGAUCCGGUGCGGCGUAUUUUAAUUGAGGAAAUGAAUUCUUCCACUUGCUCAUGUAGCUUGCUGCUUUCCUCUGUCAUGUUAUGUGGUCAGUGCCUACAAGAUGCCUGUUGUAGGUUCCCCGCGCUAAAUUAUGAGCUGCCGAAAGAAAAGAAGAAAAGCUACAGGAAUUUAGACUUCCUUUCAAUAGAACCUUUUCUUUUUUUCGCUUCUGCCACUCUGAUAAUUUUUCAACGGACAUUUUCUGACUGUUUCAAAGCACUUGGUAUUGCCUUCUUUUUUUCUGUAAGGAGUUUUGCACUGUCAGAUCAUUCGGAAUUUGUGUCUGCUUGCACCCAAAGGCACAUUCAAGCUGGGUUAAACAUGAGUAAUAUUAUCGGUGAACUAUUGAUGGGCAAAUGUGCUUGUGAUUUCCAUUGGAGCUCGGUACACCUGGGCGCCUUGUAGGCACUUGACCAGGAAUCCCAUUUUGUCAUGUGUGCCUCUCUGCGUGUACGCUUAUGCUUGUGUUUUUGCGAGGCUGCGGUGUGAUUAUGCUCUAAGCACAUUGUGACAGUUCCUGUGCAUGAUGUUUUACCUUUGUUGCUUUUCUUCUUUUUUUGACACAAGUGUAGGCAGACUGCCAAAAAAGCUUACGAAGACAGAGCACUCUGUGCAGCCCAUGUUGUGACAGCAACCGCAUUACUGGUUGAGCUACCAUGUUUUUGACUGCAUUGGGAAGCCUGGCUGCUAGGUUAUUGUUAACGACAGCGAAUGAUGGGCUACCGUUUGCUCUUUACUGGUUAUCUACUAGUCUGUUUUCUUUUGUUUUGUUUGGUUGGUUGUUUGGUGCAGUGGGGCAUUUUGCGUAUUUCACUUGUUUGCGGAUGUGUUUUGGGGAUAUUGUACGCAUUACUUGCGAUUGUUUACUUUUUAAGUUUGUUUUCGCGACAGAGAAGCUGGAAAAUGAAAUUUAAAUGUGGCGGUUUUAGCUUCUGCACGCGACGUGCGCGGUGUAAAUGAGUUUCGCGGCGGGAUCUUCACUCUGUGAGCUUCGGGGUAAGUUGAUUGCCAAGAGAAUGACACAGCAAUCAGCGCUUUGCGUUGGUUUGUCUGCGAGAACCUUAUUUUUUGCUGGUUGUUGAGUCUGGUUGUGAAUGUAGUAGGCCUGCCGGUCACUCCUUUGACACGCACACGUUGAUGGCACUGUUUAUUUUUUUGUCAGCUUGGAUGUGGCAUAGCACUGCAUAGCGUUCCAGCACGAUGUACUGGUUGUGGCAAACACUUGGCACAAGUGUUUGUUGGAACCUUGCUGCCUGAUCAAGAAAUCUUUUUGCCAACAGCAGCACGAUAUAGAAGCCUUGCUCCUGUUUCCUAAUUAACGUCAAAGUUUAAUGAGUAGCAUAAAUUUUUGUUCCUAAUAGGCAGAACACACCUGUUAGAAAUCCUAAAAUAAAAAAAAAUUAGCUGAGGCUUUUUGUAUUUGACUAGUCCAGUAUUGUCUGUAAUGAAGAUAACUUGGCAUUCGAGCCACAAGCCAGUGCUGCAUUUAAGCUGACCCAAAACAGUAGCCCACUGAAGGAUACUCAUGUCGACAAAUUUUGAGUAGACCGGCACGGCAUCGUAGCUUUUCUAGGUCUGUGUCAAGCAUAUGUGUGUUAGCGUACUGGUAGUACUCACUAGAUGCAUUCUACUCAACUCCACGAGGAGCUUCCUUAUUUUAGAUGUUAACUGUACACAAUGUCGUUCCUUUCGUCACCUCGUGCAUUUAUCUGUUAGUCAGGACUAGCAGCUUUGCCUUUUGAAGCUUUCUUGGUGCGUGCCUAAUCAUAUCCUGAAGCUGUUUAGCUUCGCGUCUGUUUUUCGAAACCCCGGUGACUGUGUAGUUGUGUCCUACAUCUCGUGUCUAGAUUCUUUUAGUGUUCCUCAACCUGUUAAUUGUUGCAUGUCCAUGCUACACUUUCCAAACGUUUGCCUCUGCGUAUGUCCAGGGGAAGGGUUGGGGGGCUGGACAUAGGGUUCAUAAUUCUUUUUCGUUUUCUUCCCACAUGUGGGGCUGUUCAGAUACACACAGUCGCUAGCCAACUAACGAAGUGGCACUUUCCCACGGAAAAAAAGAAGCUUUGGCACCGGAACAUAACAGAAGAAAUGUGUGACGACGGCAUCUAUACUAAAUGCUGAUACUCAUUCCACUAGUACUUACAUAUUUGUUUUCAGUUGUUUGUUUGUUCGUUUUUCUAGAGAUUUUGGGUUUGACUAGUCUUCUUUGAGGCAAUACUUUUUUUGGACUUCGUCACACGUGACGCAAAACAAUUUUUGCGGCUGUUUGUGGUCUUUCGUAAUAUUUAACUGUCGGCGUCUGAAAAUCAGCGCCCUCAAGCUUGCUUGAGAUGCAGAGGCUUUCUUUGAGGUUUGGUGCUGAUUGACGAAAAUGAAAAGAUGCUGUUAGCAGCCGUAUUAGCUUUGGGUGUGCCUUUUAGCUUUUAAUUCCUCACACCUUACACCAAGAGCAACGGGGUUUCGCUUUCAACGGGCCUCGUCGGGUGCUUCUUCAAGGUGUUGCCAAAAGUGGUUUCUAGUCUUUAGAGCUGAAGAUAUUUUGCACAAAAGCUUAGAUCUUUCUUAUCAGCAUCCUAGCUCCACAUUGCGGCCCAAUCUCAACAAACGCAGAGCACAGAGCCUCAGUCAUAUGUAUACCUGGGGUUUUCGUAGUGCAGAAUUAAGGUCUGCCAACUAUGUACUAGUUAGAACUAGUCAGAGCAAUAGAGGGACAAGUUGUCAUUUUGCGAGGUCACAUAGAUGCAAGAAGUACACCUGCCUGUUGUGAUAAGUGUCUUUGGGUGUGCGUGUUUUCCACAAGCGUGUCGCCAUGAUUGUUCCUAUUCGAUUUUACUCUUCUUUCGCGAUAGAUGUGUGCAGUAGGCCAUGUAAACGUGUCGUUUGUGGCAGCUCGGUUGGUGUUGAGUGCGUAUUGUUGUCGUCUUCUCUUGCCACUGUUUGAACGCGGUCGUAUGCAUUUGCUGGAUGGUGUGCAUUGAAUGGCAUUUAGCGCAGACCACAGGGAAAGACUCUUUCUUUCAUGGUGAACUGUUGACAGUAACAACGUCGCUUCACUGUUUGUAGCUGUGUUGGACCAUGAUGUGUAAUGUGUGUUUAACUGUUAAGAGAAGAACUCAUAUUGGAAUGGCAGGCUGGUUAAUUUUUUUGUGCAGUACAGCUUUGCAUGGGUGAUCCAUGCAUAUCCACUUAAGUUUUCUGAAACAUAUUGCCUGGCCUUGCUAGCGUGACUAUCAAGUAAAUAAUGGAAAAAGAAGAAAGUCAAGAGGUGGGUGCUGUUAAUACAUAAACUAUUAGGGCAAGAUGGUAUGGGACACUGGUGUCAGCCACAGUUUGAGGGCCACAUUCUAAGGUGGUUAUUGCCUUGCAUCCAACAACCUUGGAAAAGACACAAGCACUCAUACUCAUUUUAUUUUUAUUUUUAUACAUAACUGCCUCCUCCUGGCUCCUUGAAGUGAGGGAAACAGUUGAAAAAGAACAUUGCACAGAAUGUGAACUUACACAAAAAAGCUCAAAAGUGCACAUGAAAUUGUCACAAAGUUAUCUAGUGCAGCAGUUGACCUAAGCAAUUGGAGUGCGCAAUGGCUCAUGUAAUGGCCAUUCCUAGCCAUGCUUUCCAAUCUCGAAAGGUGUCGUAUUCCCCAUCUCUUUUCUUUCUUUCUUUGCAGAGUUAUAACUUAUUGUGUGUUGUGUUAGUUUACUGACAUAACUUAAGCACAGCUUCCCUCCAUACAUCUUUUGCAACUGUUGGAGCCCUUCACAACUCUUUCACUGGGCUGUGUUGUGCAGUUUCGAAUGUUUAUGUUCAUUUUUCUGGCUGCAAAGGGAUGAACAACUACGCGAACUACUGAAAGACUUUCUUUUUUGUACUCGCUUUCACCGAAUAGUGUUGGACCCUUUGCACAAAACUGCUGAGCCAAUAAAUCUGGCUGUGCAUUAGGGAGAUGGGCACGCAAUUAAAACAGGGAAUGUAUUAUUUUUAUAGUCACCGUAUUUAGUGCAUGUGUGUGUUAAAAGUAAAGUAGGAAUAGGGGUCUUAAUCCAGUACGUUUGAAUGUAGUGUAAUGUUGCGGCAUGCAGUACUUCGCAGCACAAUGGAUUUGCGACAUUUCACAAUACAGUUCCGAAUCCUAGCUCUCUAGUCAUCUCUGAUGCUGCAGUUUCGCUAGAUCAAAACCCGCUUUUUGUCCCCAGUUUCGCACAACACGUGACAAAUUUUCUGUCAAAUCACUUCCAUCGUGUCAGUUUUGCUGUUCAAGAGCUUGUUCAGAUGUCGCUUUUCUUUUUAAUGUCUCGUACUAUUUGAGUCAUUACCCGCGCUUGUGCGAUGACCAUCUGUACACCAGGACAGCUGUUUCACUGUUCAUCCCAAAGUCCCUGCAGAUGCGGAUGGCAUGCCUCCGCUCUGCAUUGGUAAAGCUAGUCCUCACUCGUCCUUAGCUUCGAACCUUACCGCAGGAAAAAGAAUGUGAGCUUAGCAAAGGGCACUACUGAAUUCUCUCCGGUGUCUCGUCGCCCCAUCCUCGCGAGUCUCUUUCUCAGUGGCUAUAAGUUGGUUUCUCAUUGGCUGCAGUCCGGCAGUUGCAUAACUGCAGUCGUGUUUUCGUCAUGACAAAAGCCAGAGUCAUCACUGUAGCCACGGGAGAAAGAAGAGAAAAGAAAGACUUGCAAGGUUGUAGCUACUACCACACAGCCAGAUUUCUAGAGCCCGAGAGGAGAAACUCUUUGUAAUUGAUGUUUAUCCUGCCAUCAAAACGGCUCGAUGAUAGACCACUUUCCUAGAUGUGAACCAAGUAUUUUCUGUGUUCCGACUCUACAUACUGCUACUGGCUCGUUUAAUAAAAAUGCGACGAUGACACUAAUAACAAUAAGAUAUAUAUUAUAUAUAUACAGUAUAUAUAUAUAUAUAUUGCCGUAUACACAUUCAGGCGUACUAUUACUUGAUAGUGGAAGUCAGUCAGUGAAAGUGCCUCGAUAAUUUUAUAGCUUUUACAAGGAGAGCUCGACAGCACUGCAAAGUGACGGCAGAGCUGGUCCGAGUGUCUCUGCCAACCCCUUGCAUGGUCGCUAGAUGUCUCCGCUAGAGCUGCUUUAUUGUUGUCAUUGUUGUCCGGAGGUCUCCACACUGGCGGCUUAUAGUUUGGACAAACCACUGAUGUCUGGUGCUGUUUUUUCUCACAUCUCUACCCUGUUGGCUACUGCACUGGAUAAGGUUUCCCUGUCGCCUUUGCAAGCUGUUUCAGAUAGCAGCAGGUCAAUCUCAUAGAGGUGUCAAAAAUCCUCAGUGGAGCUGUAAAGGCUUCUCCGGAGCUUUGCCGAGUAUUUUGCUGCUGCAUGCACAUGUAAAUGCUUGCACCGAUGUAACUGAUGAUUGCAUUUAGCCUUUUGUGCAUAGACAAAUACACUAGCCUUUUGCAUUUUAUCAAUAGUUAAGCCAAGUGUGACCUUAUGCUACUUGGUGAUUGAAGAAUGUUUUUUACCAUUCGGGCCAAUUUGAACGUAAGGGCCAGGAAAGCGGUAAAGCAAUACAGAGAAGUACCACUUCAUAUGGGUAUAAGCUGGGCAUAGUGAAUAUGUUUUGUGAUCUAUGUACUGUGGAGCAGGUCAAGCGUGCACAAUGACAUGAUAGGUGUGCCACCUGUCCGCUCUUCAACAUUCUAUGUUCUAUGUUGAACUGUGUCACUAUCAGCUCGUGCUUCACUCCUGAGCCUCUUCGUUUGCUUUUAGCUAUCAUUGUAAAGCAUAGACUUUUAUUUUGACGUAAACGAUCAAGACGUGUGUGGGUUUGGACUAAACUUGCAGCAGGCUUGAGGGGAAUUAUACUCAAGUGGUCAGCAGCUGCUGUGUGUUGACGCAUGUGUUUGUCAUAUCGCCAAGUGAAUCCUGUAAACCAUAACUGCUGAUGUUUAUUCCUGGCACUUCUGACCGUCAGACCACAGAGCAGUAGCAGAGCAGGUUUGCAGCCGCAAUCGACCUGCCUGAACAGGUGACGGCAUAACACGCUAGGCAAAGUGGCAUUUUCAUUCAGCGUUCUUGUCCACACAAAAGACUGCACUUCUUCGUGCAAUGCACAUUCACUGGAAAAUUCAGUAGGUACAACGCUCUGCUUUACUUUUAUCUGUUUGCUGUCCUGAUUUUAUAUGACCGUUACUGAGCCAAAAUUUCUUGAGGGGCUUGUAUGAAAAUGCUAUAAUCUUUGAGAAAUGAGCAUCCUUAAUGCCACCUAAAAUCUUAAAAUAGGCUCCUGUUCAGUAACAAAGUA
rnacentral:misc_RNA from 1 species